GUCUUCGUGGCGUAGUGGUCAGCACACUCGGCGCGUAUUCGAGAGGUCUGUGGUUCGAGUCCCGGCGAGGGCA
rnacentral:tRNA from 1 species